GAUGAACGCUGGCGGCGUGCCUAAUACAUGCAAGUCGAGCGAACGGACGAGAAGCUUGCUUCUCUGAUGUUAGCGGCGGACGGGUGAGUAACACGUGGAUAACCUACCUAUAAGACUGGGAUAACUUCGGGAAACCGGAGCCAAUACCGGAUAAUAUUUUGAACCGCAUGGUUCAAAAGUGAAAGACGUUCUUGCUGUCACUUAUAGAUGGAUCCGCGCUUCAUUAGCUAGUUGGUAAGGUAACGGCUUACCAAGGCAACGAUGCAUAGCCGACCUGAGAGGGUGAUCGGCCACACUGGAACGGAGACACGGUCCAGACUCCUACGGGAGGCAGCAGUAGGGAAUCUUCCGCAAUGGGCGAAAGCCUGACGGAGCAACGCCGCGUGAGUGAUGAAGGUCUUCGGAUCGUAAAACUCUGUUAUUAGGGAAGAACAUAUGUGUAAGUAACUGUGCACAUCUUGACGGUACCUAAUCAGAAAGCCACGGCUAACUACGUG
rnacentral:rRNA from 1 species